CCAGUAGGAGUUGAUGUAUUCUGAAUUCUCAAAUUACAUCAUUCAGGACGUGAAUUAAUGUUAGUGAAAUUCAUUAUCUUGUACGUUAGUCCGUUGGUUUGUUUACUCCCAGUGAAAUAAGAUAGUAAGCGAUAUCAUAUCUGUGAUUUUUUAUAACAAGAAAAUCUGCUGUCAGAUGUUAGCAACCGUUAGCACGUCACGGACGCUUUGCUAGCUAGCUAACAUUAGCUGACCGACUGGACUAGGCUAAACGGAUCUCAGACGACAUUUUAGUAACAUUAGACUAGAAGCUACAUAGCAAAGUAACUUGUGAGACCAGCCCUCCCUUUAGCUAGUAAAGCAGUACUGUCUUACCCACUUUUAACACAUGUAUGAGGUGUAUCGGGGUAUUGGCCCAGGUGACCUCACUGUGAAGAGUCAUGGAUGCAGAGAUAGAAAUGGAGGUCAGAGUUCAGCUCUGUAAGAGCAGGAAGGUGGAGGCGUGAAGACCGGAGGCUCGUUCACGUCCUCCACGUUCACGACGACUGUGGCUGUGGAGGUCGGCAGACGGGCUGCGAAAGGAGCCUCAUUCUCCACAGUGACCAACAAGUGAUAAGGCCUUCCAUCUUGCCUGGACCAGUAUGGACACUGAAGAGUCCUCCCUCGUUUCCUCUGAUGAUGGUGUAUUUCGUGGACCAGGCCGGUGUGUGGGGCUCGUCCUCGUCUGUGACCGUCAUUUUCAC